AGUACUAUAUUAUACCAGUACGGAGCUGAACAAACAAAAAGUGAUUAGAACUAGUCAAGUCUGAAUAUUACACAACCCUGAACAUUACACAAUUUUGAACAUUACACUACUCAAGGUUAUAGAAAUUUGAGAGAGAGAGAGAGAGAGAGAGAGAACAACAAUAGGUUUUGGGAAAGGGGGAGGAGGAGCAACAGGUUUUUGGAAGAUGAGGAGCAGCAGGGGCGUUUGAGAGAAGAUGCAGCAAGAGAGAGGAGCAGCGGCAGUUCUGCAGAGAGGUUGAGGGAAGGAGCAGCAACAGUUGCGGUUUAGAGCAGCAGCAGCAUGGAGGGUUGAGAGAAAAGCUUCAGCCGAGGCCAACCAGGGUCAUGAGAGGAGAAACAGAGGAGGAGCAGCAGCGAGAUGGGCGAAGGGAGCAGCAGGAAGGCGAUGGGGAAGAAGAGAAGGGCAGUAGGGAAGAGGAGCAGCAGAAGGCAGGGUCGCGCGGGGCACCAGACACCUUGUCUGGUCGGUCGCGCCAUGGAUGGUGGUGAAGGGGUGGCGCUGAUGGAUGGUGCAGCGGCGCGAGGUGGUGAUGCAGUGGAUGGAUGGUGGUGUAUGGAGGUGCUGGUGG
rnacentral:lncRNA from 1 species